AGUCUAAGGUUUCCUGGGGAAGGUUCGUCCGCCCAGGGUAAGUCGGGACCUAAGGAGAGGCCGAAAGGCGUAUCUGAUGGACAGCAGGUAGAAAUUCCUGCACCACCGAUAUACUUAAAAAAUGCAAGGGACACAGUAGUGGAAGGAAAGCGAGGAAGAGGAAAGACUCGUAUCGAAAGAUAUAGUGAAAAAAUAAGUAACGAAUUUCCAAGAAGCACACUGGCGAGAAAAGCUUGUAGGAAUUGUAUAAAGGUGCCCGUACCGCAAACCGACACAGGUAGAUGAGGAGAGGAUCCUAAGAUGAGCGAGAGAAGCAUUGUUAAGGAACUCGGCAAAUUGACCCCGUAACUUAGGGAGAAGGGGUGCCAAAGUAAAAUUUGGUCGCAGAGAAGAGGCCCAAGCAACUGUUUAACAAAAACACAGGUUUCUGCUAAAUCGAAAGAUGAAGUAUAGGAGCUGACGCCUGCCCAGUGCUGGAAGGUCAAGGGGAGAUGUUAGAAGAAAUUCGAAGCAUAGAACCAAAGCCCCAGUGAACGGCGGCCGUAACUAUAACGGUCCUAAGGUAGCGAAAUUCCUUGUCAGGUAAGUUCUGACCCGCACGAAAGGCGUAAUGAUUUGGGCGCUGUCUCGACAAUGUACUCGGCGAAAUUGUAGUACUAGUGAAGAUGCUAGUUACCUGCGACAAGACAGAAAGACCCCAUGGAGCUUUACUGUAGCUUGAUACUGGGUUUCGAUAAUUUAUGUACAGGAUAGGUGGGAGGCGAAGAAGCAAUUGCGCCAGCAGUUGUGGAGUCAUCCUUGGGAUACCACCCUUAAGUUAUUGAAAUUCUAACCUGUAGUCCUGAGCGGGCUAGGGGACAAUGUCAGGCGGGCAGUUUGACUGGGGCGGUCGCCUCCAAAAGAGUAACGGAGGCGCGCAAAGGUUUCCUCAGCGCGGACAGAAAUCGCGCGAAAGAGUGCAAAGGCAGAAGGAAGCUUAACUGAGAGACUGACAAGUCGACCAGAUACGAAAGUAGGUCUUAGUGAUCCGGCGGUAGUGAGUGGAAAUGCCGUCGCUCAACGGACAAAAGUUACCCUGGGGAUAACAGGCUUAUCUCCCCCAAGAGUUCACAUCGACGGGGAGGUUUGGCACCUCGAUGUCGGCUCAUCACAUCCUGGAGCGGAAGUACGUUCCAAGGGUUGGGCUGUUCGCCCAUUAAAGUGGUACGCGAGCUGGGUUCAGAACGUCGUGAGACAGUUCGGUCCUUAUCUGUCGCAGGCGAAGGAUAUUUGAGGGGAGUUGACCUUAGUACGAGAGGACCAGGUUGAACUUACCAAUGGUGUAUCAGUUGUCGUACCAACGGCACGGCUGAGUAGCUAAGUAGGGAAGGGAUAAACGCUGAAAGCAUCUAAGUGUGAAGCCCACCCCAAGAUAAGAUAUCCCAUACCGUAAGGUAGUAAGAUUCCACGUAGACUAUGUGGUAGAUAGGUUGGAGGUGUAAGUGCAGUAAUGCAUUAAGCUGACCAAUACUAAUAAAUCGAGGGCUUAACCA
rnacentral:rRNA from 1 species